UACGGGGGGGGCAAGCGUUGUUCGGAAUUACUGGGCGUAAAGGGCUCGUAGGCGGCCAACUAAGUCGGACGUGAAAUCCCCAGGCUCAACCUGGGAACUGCAUCCGAUACUGGAUGGCUUGAAUUCGGGAGAGGGAUGCAGAAUUCCAGGUGUAGCGGUGAAAUGCGUAGAUAUCUGGAGGAAUACCGGUGGCGAAGGCGGCUUCCUGGUCCAGCCACCGACGUCAGGCACGAAAGCGUGGGGAGCAAACAGG
rnacentral:rRNA from 1 species